rnacentral:rRNA from 1 species
AUUGAACGCUGGCGGCAGGCCUAACACAUGCAAGUCGAGCGAGCGGCGGACGGGUGAGUAAUGCCUGGGAAUUGCCCAGUCGAGGGGGAUAACAGUUGGAAACGACCGCUAAUACCGCAUACGAUUGGCUUCCACCGGUGAGAUUAGCUAGUUGGUGAGGUUAUGUCUCACAAGGGCGACAAUCCAUAGCUGGUCUGAGAGGAUGAUCAGCCAAACUGGAACUGAGACACGGUCCAGACUCCUACGGGAGGCAGCAGUGGGGAAUAUUGCACAAUGGGGGAAAGCCUGAUGCAGCCAUGCCGCGUGGGUGAAGAAGGCCUUCGGGUUGUAAAGCACUUUCAGCGAGGAGGCGUUACUCGCAGAAGAAGCACCGGCUAACUCCGUGCCAGCAGCCGCGGUAAUAC